GAUCCGGCUCAGGAUGAACGCUGGCGGCGUGCCUAAUACAUGCAAGUCGAACGCGAGCACUUGUGCUCGAGUGGCGAACGGGUGAGUAAUACAUAAGUAACCUGCCCUAGACAGGGGGAUAACUAUUGGAAACGAUAGCUAAGACCGCAUAGGUACGGACACUGCAUGGUGACCGUAUUAAAAGUGCCUCAAAGCACUGGUAGAGGAUGGACUUAUGGCGCAUUAGCUGGUUGGCGGGG
rnacentral:rRNA from 1 species